UACGAAGGGGGCUAGCGUUGUUCGGAAUUACUGGGCGUAAAGCGUGCGCAGGCGGCCAUCCAAGUCAGUGGUGAAAGCCCGGAGCUCAACUCCGGAAUUGCCAUUGAAACUGUUUGGCUCGAGUACGAGAGAGGUGAGUGGAAUUCCCAGUGUAGAGGUGAAAUUCGUAGAUAUUGGGGAAGAACACCGGUGGCGAAGGCGGCGUCACU
rnacentral:rRNA from 1 species